rnacentral:snRNA from 1 species
GUUCUCACUUUGGCAGCACAUGCACUGAAGUUGGAAUGAUACAGAGAAGAUCAGCAUGGUCACUGUACAAGGAUGACACACAAGUUCAUGAAGUAUUCCAUAUUUAA